UUGUGGCCAGCCCACCAAAGUCCGUGGGCUUCCUCCUCUCGUCUCGUCUCACCAGUCGCCACCACCGUCGACUCGUCGACGCCUCCGCCUGCCGCAAUCUUCCGCCCGAUUCCCGUCGCCACGCGCCGCCUCACUCCCUCUCUCUCCCGUGCCGCCAGCUCGCCAGCGCUCCCUCACCUCGCGCUGCCCGACCGCCGAGAAUGCAGCAGGCAACCCUAGGCUAGGGUUUUCACUGGGAUUCUUUGCGCUCGCUCGUCGAUUCGCAUCUUCGGCCGCUGUGCCUCAGCUUCCUCAGCUCCGAUUUGAAGAAACAAGGUGUUCAGUGGGGUAGAAUACUUCUAUCAAGAUUAUCACAGUACUGUAUUAGGUAUUUUAGUUAGUGUAUUAGGUAUUUUAGUUAGUAUUCAGAAAAUCUUAUGAGAUGUCGAGUUGAGCUGCUGCAUGAAGGAACCUGAGAUCAGGCCUACUGCCCUUAUCUGGUUUUUGUUGUAUCCGGAGCUAUCUCUACAAUUUUGACUGACUCACGUCUUCUUGUGAUCAAGCACUUGUAGUUGUUAGUUAGCUUUUCUGUUGCAGUGAGAUCUAAAUGUAAGUAUAUGAGAUUGGAUUAAUACAACUUGCGUUGAGCAAUUCUAAUCUCCUUUGCUGCUGC